AAAGUACUCCUCCCGUCCCAAAAUUUUUGUCUUAAAUUUAUCUAGAUACGGAUGUAUCUAAUAUUAAAAAUGUGACUUGAUACAUCCAUAUUUAGACAAAUCUAAGACAAGAAUUUUUGGACGGAGGAAGUAAUAU
rfam:Triticum aestivum genome assembly, contig: Triticum_aestivum_CS42_TGACv1_scaffold_557076_7AL